CCUACGGGUGGCAGCAGUGAGGAAUAUUGGUCAAUGGACGAGAGUCUGAACCAGCCAAGUAGCGUGAAGGAUGACUGCCCUAUGGGUUGUAAACUUCUUUUAUAAAGGAAUAAAACGAGGCACGUGUGCCUUUUUGCAUGUACUUUAUGAAUAAGGAUCGGCUAACUCCGUGCCAGCAGCCGCGGUAAUACGGAGGAUCCGAGCGUUAUCCGGAUUUAUUGGGUUUAAAGGGAGCGUAGAUGGGUUGUUAAGUCAGUUGUGAAAGUUUGCGGCUCAAACGUAAAAUUGCAAUUGAUACUGGCAGUCGUGAGUACAGUUGAGGUAGGCGGAAUUCGUGGUGUAGCGGUGAAAUGCUUAGAUAUCACGAAGAACCCCGAUUGCGAAGGCAGCUUACUAAACUGUGACUGACAUUGAUGCUCGAAAGUGUGGGUAUCAAACAGGAUUAGAUACCCCUGUAGUC
rnacentral:rRNA from 1 species